AUGUAUUGCUAUUUAAUUGUAUUUAUUUAUUUAUUCAUUCAUUCUUGAUAGAACAGUGAAAGAGAGAGAGUGGACUCUGACCAAUGUUGUGUCAUAGGACAGAGUUUCUUCACACAAGGCCAUGGAUCCAAAGAGUUUGUGAGCCGUGAUCACUAGCUUUCAUUGUAUGGAAGGAUCUGUGUGAAGGUCUGAAACAACAUGAAGGGUGGUAACCUAAGCUGUCCUGCAUUUGGUGUUUUAAUGUGUCCAUUCCUGUUCUUAAUUGCACUUGGAGGUCACCGGGAUCUAAAGUCACUGGAAGCAGUUAAAAUAAUAGGAGCUGACCACAUGUUGGAGGUUAUGAGAUGUGGCCCCCCGACAUACAGAGAAGCCGCUGCAAACCCUCUGCUGCAACAUUGUUGUUGUGUCUUGCUGACCUGUUUGUUUAAAACUUACACAAAUAUUUGUAUAAACUGAUUUACAGCAAACAUUUGAUGCAAGUUAUUGCUGAUAUAUGAAUGCAAAUACGCAAAACCACAUAAACGAAGCUCUUUCUCCUUUCAUUUUUUAGAUGACUCAGCUACUUUUUGUGUAAUGUAAAGCAGACCGCAUGUCGUUUCUCCAGCCUACCGGUAACCAUGAACGGCUGUGCACUGGAAACAAUUAAGAUUAAUGAUUAAUUGAACUCAUCUAAACCGACCGGCCAAGUCAGCAAACUGUUUUCCAUCUCUUUCCAAAUAUCAACGGGCACCAGCGGGGCCGGUCAUGACAGUGACCCUCAGCGCACAUCUGCGGCCCACGAGUGUCUUCACAUGCAGACGCCACACCUGUCCAAUCCCAGCAUCCCUCACUUAAGCUAAAGCACAUCCCAAAUGACUUCCGAUGAGUCUCUUGACUUGACUUGAACUACACAGCUGGUUUGCAAUAACCACUUCAUCCAUCCUCUAAGGAUUCGAAACGCUGACCGUUUAGCACAUAUCCAAAAUGUAUAUUCCACAGAAGUUACGAAACCAGUUGUUCACUCUGUGUUUAUGCUGAUCUUCUGAAUGGCCCAUGAUUGAACUGUGGGUGUGUGCCAGCUCCUUUCUUUGCUGGUCUAAUUUUUAGCUACUGUUGAAUCCACUGAGCUUCAGAGAACACAAAGGGCUCCUGAACGCGGGCCAGCCCACCCCACAGAUGGUCGGGGGAUCAGAGGCUGUCAGCGCGCUCCAACAAGACAAGCACGGGGCUCAGUCUCCACAGGAGCAUGGUGGGUCUGAAUGGGAGCAUUUCCACUCGCUUCUAUAGCCCCCCACCAUGCAUUUGUAAAAUGAUUUGUGGCAAAUUUGUUGGAUCAAUAUGGAUGCCAGAGGUGGGGCUAAAGCGGAUCUGUUUUUAGCUAGGCUGCGGUAAAGACAUCUGGAGAUCGGAGGUGAUGACAUGUUGACCGUGACAGAAACGCGCUAAGAUGGACAAAACCUGAGGAAGAAAUGUAAUUAGUUGUGAUAGGCUUGGGACAGAGCGAUUGUGUUGGAGGUUACUUGCAUUGGCUAAGAGAGUUCAUGAACCUUUGGAAGCGUGAUGAGGGGGAAAAAAGGAAAAAGGGGCAGGUCAGGGUAGCUGGUUUGGCGAGUUUCACAGUCUUUUUUUUUUUUCUCCAAAUUUAUGUCUUGCCCAUUCUCUUCUGCCAAAAAAAAAAGUACAAAUAAUA